UCAGUCGGCCGGACGGCCGCUCCGGCAGCUGCCGAAAGGCCGCCGGGGAGGAAAGUCCGGGCUCCAUCGACAUGCGGUGCCGGAUAACGUCCGGCGGGGGCGACCCCAGGGACAGUGCCACAGAGAACGAACCGCCCGCCUCGUCCAUAUGGGCUUUGGCGUGGUAAGGGUGAAAAGGUGCGGUAAGAGCGCACCGCGGGUCCGGCAACGGAACCGGCAUGGUAAACCCCACCGGGAGCAAGACCGAAUAGGGACGGCAACGCGGGCAGUUCGUGAAAACGACAACGCCUGCGGGAGCGGUGUCAGGCUCGCCGUCCGGGUAGGUUGCUCGAGGUUGCGCGCAAGCGUGAUCCCAGAGGAAUGGCCGUCACGUAUCGCCCGUGCGCAAGCACGGCCGGUGCCCUACAGAACCCGGCUUACAGGCCGGCUGAUAUG
rnacentral:RNase_P_RNA from 2 species